rnacentral:rRNA from 3 species
GGCCUAACACAUGCAAGUCGAACGCCGUAGCAAUACGGAGUGGCAGACGGGUGAGUAACACGUGGGAACAUACCCUUUGGUUCGGAAUAACUCAGGGAAACUUGGGCUAAUACCGGAUACGCCCUACGGGGGAAAGAUUUAUUGCCGAAGGAUUGGCCCGCGUCUGAUUAGCUAGUUGGUGAGGUAAUGGCUCACCAAGGCGACGAUCAGUAGCUGGUCUGAGAGGAUGAUCAGCCACAUUGGGACUGAGACACGGCCCAAACUCCUACGGGAGGCAGCAGUGGGGAAUAUUGGACAAUGGGCGCAAGCCUGAUCCAGCCAUGCCGCGUGAGUGAUGAAGGCCUUAGGGUUGUAAAGCUCUUUUACCUGGGAAGAUAAUGACGGUACCAGGAGAAUAAGCCCCGGCUAACUUCGUGCCAGCAGCCGCGGUAAUACGAAGGGGGCUAGCGUUGUUCGGAUUUACUGGGCGUAAAGCGCACGUAGGCGGAUCUUUAAGUCAGGGGUGAAAUCCCAAGGCUCAACCUUGGAACUGCCUUUGAUACUGGGGAUCUCGAGUCCGGGAGAGGUGAGUGGAACUGCGAGUGUAGAGGUGAAAUUCGUAGAUAUUCGCAAGAACACCAGUGGCGAAGGCGGCUCACUGGCCCGGUACUGACGCUGAGGUGCGRAA